AUUACCUGCUUCAGUUGGCCGGCAACCGCACCGUCCCGGUGGAGCUGGGCGCUCGCUACACCGACCAGGAUUGGUCCCAAAACCUCAUGACGGUCGCGGAGUUCGUCGGCCGCUUCGUCAAGCAGGAGAAUCCCAAUGGAUACCUUGCUCAGCACCAGCUUUUUGAACAGAUCCCAGAGCUGAAGGAGGACAUUGGCAUCCCGGACUAUUGUUGCCUGGGCAAAAAUGAUGAAGAGGAGAUCACCAUCAAUGCCUGGUUUGGCCCAUCAGGGACCAUCUCACCUCUUCACCAGGAUCCACAACAAAAUUUCUUGGUCCAGGUGAUGGGACGCAAAUAUAUCCGUCUGUUCUCUCCUGACCAGUCUGAAAAACUGUAUCCACACGAAGGCCACCUUCUUCACAACACCAGCCAGGUUGAUGUGGAAGACCCUGACUUCGUGAAGUUUCCUAAGUUCAAGGAAGCAGCAUUUCAAGACUGUAUCUUGAGCCCUGGAGAGGUCCUGUUUAUCCCGGCCAGUUACUGGCAUUACGUUCGAGCCCUGGACACCAGCUUCUCCGUUAGCUUCUGGUGGUCCUAGUUUAUGCUGAGAACAGAACAGCCACAUCCAGAGGAGCCAAGAAUAGGUACAGGUGAUCCAUGUCUUGCAUCUGCCAUAAGAUGGGCUGGUAGUUACCUGAACAGAAAGGCUGUGGCAGAUGUGGCAUUUCCGGGCAGACUCCGGGUAAUGGCGGAAGAUGUACUGUUCCAGCUCAAGGAUGCUGCGG